UGGGGAAUAUUGCACAAUGGGGGAAACCCUGAUGCAGCGACGCCGCGUGAGUGAAGAAGUAUUUCGGUAUGUAAAGCUCUAUCAGCAGGGAAGAGAAUGACGGUACCUGACUAAGAAGCCCCGGCUAACUACGUG
rnacentral:rRNA from 1 species